rnacentral:rRNA from 1 species
GUGCCAAGCAGCCGCGGUAAUUCCAGCUCCAAUAGCGUAUAUUAAAGUUGUUGCGGUUAAAAAGCUCGUAGUUGGAUCUCGGCGGGCAGGGGGUGGUUCGCUCUUCAGCGCUACUGCCCCGCUUUGCCCGUGUGAUUGGCGGAGGUUUCGGGGUGCUCUUCGUUGAGUGACUCGGAGCGCCGUCAGGUUUACUUUGAAAAAAUUAGAGUGCUCAAAGCAGGCUUUUCACGCUUGAAUAUUCGUGCAUGGAAUAAUGGAAUAGGAACUCGUUUCUAUUUUGUUGGUUUUCGGAAAUCGAGUUAAUGAUUAACAGGGACAAUUGGGGGCAUUAGUAUUCAGACGACAGAGGUGAAAUUCUUGGACCGUCUGAAGACUGACUACUGCGAAAGCAUUUGCCAAGAGUGUUUUCAUUAAUCAAGAACGAAAGUUAGAGGUUCGAAGGCGAUCAGAUACCGCCCUAGUUCUAACCAUAAACGAUGCCAGCUAGCGAUCUGCCGAGUUUUUUUUGUAGGCUCCGCAGGAAGCUUUCGGGAAACCAAAGCUUUUGGGUUCCGGGGGAAGUAUGGUUGCAAAGCUGAAACUUAAAGGAAUUGACGGAAGGGCACCACCAGGAGUGGAGCCUGCGGCUUAAUUUGACUCAACACGGGAAAUCUCACCAGGCCCGGACACUGGAAGGAUUGACAGAUUGAGAGCUCUUUCUCGAUUCGGUGGGUGGUGGUGCAUGGCCGUUCUUAGUUGGUGGAGUGAUUUGUCUGGUUAAUUCCGAUAACGAACGAGACUCUGUCCUGCUAAAUAGUUGGGUCGUCCUUCGUGCGAUCCAAGUUCUUCUUAGAGGGACUGGCUGCGUCUAGCAGCACGAGAUUGAGCAAUAACAGGUCUGUGAUGC